rnacentral:tRNA from 3 species
GGGUGUGUAGCUCAGUCGGUAGAGCAGCUGACUCUUAAUCAGCGGGUCCACAGUUCGAUCCUGUGCACACCCACCA